rnacentral:lncRNA from 1 species
GGAUUAAUCUAAGCUUCUGCUGUGUAUGGACCUGUGGCUACAUUACAAAAUUCAGUUGUGAAGCUAUAAAAUCAAUUAGUCUAGACCUCAAAUCUUAUUUCCUAUGAAAAGCCUCAAACUUGUAGCUGUAUGAACAAGUGUUUUUGGAAUUUUUUUUUUUUUGCUAGAAUGGAGAGAACACACUGGAGAUCACAAAUGCAUUUAUUCUUUUUCACCAACUGUUUCAUUGGCCUUAAAAAAUACUAGGCUAAACUUAAGUGGUAAAGAUCUGAAAUAAAAAGAUGCAUCUUUAUGUCUGAACAGCAAUUUUUCAUAGGUCUCUAAUAACUUGCAUUUCCUUAUCUAUGGAUAAGGAGAUCUGAAAUUGAUCUACAUUUUCUUUAGUAAUGUUUUCUCUGUUUAUUGAGAACAGAUAUCUUCAUCUCCUUCAUGCAUUAUCCUUAGUAACAGAUGUCAGUAGGAUCCAGAGCCAUUUUGGAACUUUACCAAGGAUUAAGGAUGAGCACAGAUCACAUCAAGAGUCUAAAUAUCACUUUGGAGGCCAUGUGCAGAUCAGAUUUGGAAGUGACCAAGACUGGAGGCAGGGACACCAGAGUUUUCUGUUAAAAACUGGUCCAUGCAAGAAAAGAUGACUCCUGAAAUAAGACAGUGAUCAUUAGGAUGAAGAGGAAGAGAAGAUUUGAGGAAUACUUAGAACAGAAUUUACUGAAUUUACUGGUUGAAUUGAAUGUGAAGAGGAGAUGAAUAAAGAAGAAAACACCCUCAAAGGGAACCCUGAGCAGAACACAUGCACAAACUCAUGCCAUACCCUAAGGGACAAGGUUCCCCACAUCUACUUGGAAAUCUUUGGGAUGCUCAAUGGAGAAAAACAAGGAGAGAAAAAUCUAAACCCAGCAGAAGAGAAAGUUUAAGAAAGCGGUCGUCGCCAAUACCAAAAUUAGCUAUGAUAUUCAGGAAGAAAAAAAUGGAAACACGAUAACCACAGUCAAUAAAGACCAAGGCCACAUUCCAUUGACCAGAGCUCAGCCACGCGCCACACCUGGCUAAAGAGACUCUGGCUGAAGAAUUCCCUGAAUAUUUUAAUGUAGCUCUAGGUUAUAACACAGAACAACCACAAGGUGGCAGAAGAACUCCAUUCUUGUAAAUCUCUUAGUUGCUUCUUUAUUUCAUCUUCCCUAUUCCAUCUAAUGUUCCCUGAAUUUUACUAUUUUGUUGGUUUGAAAAUAUGUGUGACUUACGUCCUUUAAAGGAUUUGGUUCGUAAGGUUUUGAAUAGACUGGAAUAUAAAACAUUUAUAGAAAAGAAAAAUACCUACAGUAUGAUGUUAGUGAACUAUUAAUAAUCCAAUUAAAUAAAAUAUAUUUGCUUUGGAUUAAUACA